GUCUCAAAAAAAAAAAAGUCAAAUGCAAUAUGGAUUUAAGAGAACUUUAUAAAUAGCAUUAUGAUUUUGAUACCAACCACUCUGAGCUGCUCAGGUUGUCUUAGAAUCUCCCUUCAUCUUCUCCCCGCCCUUUUAUCUAGAGCUUUUAAUGACCCCAGUAUAAAACAAUUAAGGAAAGGCACCUUGAGCCUGGCUGUAGCAGCCAGCAUGUUCCCGCGGACUGAGAGCCUCCAGGUGCUAGCAUUUGCAAACUGUCUCUAAACCAGACCCUUCUGGGUGCCUAAGGGGUGCGUGCAGUCCUCUCCUGGCGGAUUGGGUGCGGGGUUUCCCCCUCCCAGGAGCCUCUGGGACUGGCCCCGCCUCCAAGCUCCAGAAGCCAACCUGAUUGGUCUAAGGGAAGCCCCACCCCUUUGUCAUGAGUGGUUUAGAAAUGAGCAUGUGACUUGGAGGGCUUCUGGGAAGUUUCCUGAAGCCUACAAAAAGCCCCGAGGGAGUGCUGCCUCUCUUCUUUCCCGAAAAGGUGCUAGCGUUGCCCUUGGGGCUUGAGGAGGAAGCUGAAGGGGCUGCGGAACAGCAGGCGAGGCCACUUGAGGCAGGCUCACUAGGACUCGCACCCAGAGCCCUCUGACAAAAGGCUUCGGUCCUCACAGCAGCCCCACAAGGGACGCCUUGUUAAGGCCCUUCUGCAGAUGAGGAAACUGAGGCGGAGAGAGGUGGAGACAUCCAGCACUGUGCCUGGCCCAUAGGAGAUAUUCAAUAAAUGUUUGUGGAAUGAGAAGACUGAAGUUACAUGUACUCUCAGGACCAGGACCAAGGAAAAAAACUCUGUUUUUGGACUAGAUCUCGCAAAAAGGUAGUAUUUUACAGUUGGUGGAGUCUCACACUAUUUUAAGCUAUUUAAAUGACUAUUGGCCUCUCUUGUGUAUUUUAAAUAAGACUUUAAUUUUAGUGCAUGCCCAUACGCAGUGUUACAAAGCCUAUCAUUUUACAGUCAGUAGCACCAAUGAAUGUAUGGCAACUCCAUUCCCCCCUAACCCUACAAACAAAGGCUCAAUGUUCAGGCGGCCUCCCCUAUCCUGUAUCUUCUGGGCUAAAUUCAGCCAUAGACUGGAUUUGGGCUGGAGGGUUCUGGUGGGUAAUUGCAAUCCACAGACACCACCACUGCACUUGAAAGCUUUGAUGUUCUCUCCUGAUCAGGUGUUAAUAAGUCAGAAAUAUAAGACUCUCAAUUUGGUGCCCCCUCUUUGCCUUAACCCCAGCCAACCAAUAAUGGCAAGUAAAGUACUCUAUGCUCAAAAGGCACAGAAAGAUUGAACGAAGCUCCCAGCUACCUACCCCCACCCCUCUUAGCUCAUGGGUAAUAAGGAUGAUAAUAAUAAUUUGAAAUGAUCUAUGUUUUUUAAAACUCCACUUGAGGAGACGGUGUUGUUCCUAGGGGUUAAAAGUACAGACACUGGAGACAAGCAGACCUGAGGCCAAGUGCAGACUCUAGCACUUUCAACUGGAGACAUUGAGAAGGUUCCUGAGCUUCUCAAAGCACUGGUUUCCUCAUCUGUAAAAACCUUCCCACAAGAGUUUAGACCAAAGUUUAAGAUGUAAAGAUGCCCCAUAAACAAUAGCUCUUAGGGUCUGCAUAAGCCCUGGCUCUCUUCUACUGGAGUAUCAUUUUGCAAACUGGGUGGGUAUGGAGACUGCCUUCUCUGUUCUCUCUUGCCAUGCCUUAAGGUAGACAUAGAAACAAGACAGAGAACCUGUCCCUACAUUUGACUCUUUCUUUUCCUUUUCAGAUGUGCUCUGCCUGUCACAUUACACACAACCCCAGUGGCUCUCACUUUCCUCAUCCAAGGCUCUCUAGAAGAGCUGUUUAGCGUGUGGGAUUUGGAAACAGAUUGCAGGGGUUUAGAAUCCAGCUCCAUCUAGGAUGUCCAAUUAUCCCAGCUUUCCUUGAACGGUUCUGGUUUUAGCACUGGAAGUCCUUGGUCCUGGGUAGAGCAGGAUAUUUGGUCCUCCUUGCUCCACUCCUUCCUACGCUAAGUCCUCACUAAUUUGACCUUUCAAUACCUUAGGGAUUUCAGCAAUUCUAAAAUCAUCCUUGGUCAUUGGAAUGCAAGAAGUGAGGGCUUGGAGUAUUCUGUCCCGGAGCCUUGUCAUGACCACAACCAGCUGACAACCUCACUUGUGUUUGAGUCACCAUUAAAUCUCAACUCUCCCCAAGCCAGAAUGAACCCAGGGACAAAGGAGGCCAGUGGAUUUGAAGGAAAUUGAAAAUGUUCUUCCUAAGAGACAAGAUUAUCUUGUACCACUGAUGAAGUAGGCACUUUGGAGACACAAGCCCAAAUGCCUACUUGGAACCAAGCAGACAAUAUAAAUAAGUGGAGUGGACUGAGUGUAAAAGAACCAACCGUCCAGGCAGGGUAAGCAACAACUGAUUCUCAGUCUCCCUAUUGGAGGCAAUAGAGAGGGGUGUGGACUGUGACAUAAAUGAGAACAAAUCUCCUGGUAAAAGAAGCAGCUGUUACUCAGUUACAUCCAGUUAUUGCUAUGUAAGAAUGUAAUCCCAGGGCUUCUGACCUUCUAUUUUUUUUCAGUAGAAGUCAGAUAUCUAGAUUUUUAUGUGAAGUUGUAUAAUUUUAUGGUGUUGGUCACUGAUUUAAUGCUUUGCAAAAUUCUUCAGGUCCAAGUAGGUAAAAAAAAAAAAAAAUCAGCUUGCAAACUUCCAAAGGACAACUGCUAGAGUAAAGGAAGGAGCUUGGCCUUUGCAGCUAGACAGUUUUGAUUUUGAGUCCUAUUUCUACCUUUAGUAAGUAUUUCAAGCUCUCUGUACUCCAGUUUUCAGACCAGUAAAACAGAAAUAAUAGGCUUCUUGAAGGAUUAGUAAUGAUGAAUAUGAAGCAUUUAACACAGUGCCUGGCACAUGGCAGAGAUGCAAUAAAUAAUACCUGUUGGUGGUGGCGCCCACCCAGAACUCAGCCCUGUUGACUGCUGACCCAGUUCUCUUUCCAUUCUAAAAAUGCUUAAACAGAAAAUCUGCAUCGCUGGCACCCAAAUUCCAAGCAGAAUUCAUUCUGCUUCAUAGAAAGGCAGUUCUUUCCCACCCUGAGUUCACAACUCCAAACGCACUCCUGAUAGGUAGAGAUCUGUCUCUGUCUCCUACUCUUCCAAGUCUCUCUUCUUCCCCACCCCAUCUAUUGCCAUGCAUAUGCGCACAUGCACACACACACACCCGCAUAUUUAACAUAUACACAGAUGCCUGGGAUUUUACUGUUAGUCACUGCUUUGGGAAGUGAUUACUGUCUUUCUGCGAAUGCUGAAAGAGAAGGAAGGACUAGAUAAAGAGGGCCCCUGGAACCCUAAAAAUACGCUCAUCAGUUUUAUCAGGGGAUGCAAUGAACUGAGUGUUUCUGUUCAUCUAAAAGCUGUAUGUUGAAAUUCUCCUCCCUAUGAUGGUAUUAGGAGGUGGGGCUUUUGGUGGGUGAUUAGGUCAUGAGGGUGGAGCUCUCGUGAAUGGGAUUAGUGCCUUUAUUAAAGAGGCUGUGGGGAGCUCCCUUACCUCUUCUGGCAGUCACCUAGGAACCAGGAAGUAGGUCCUCACAAGACAUCAAAUCUAGGACUUCCCAGCCUCCAGAACUGUGAGAACUAAAUCUACAUUGUAUAUAAGCCCUGCAGUGUAUGGCAUUUUGUUGUAGCAUAGCAGCAUGAAAGGAUUAAGAUAGGUGCUCCUGUAUGCCAGGAGCACCACAUGAUGCAACCUGUUCACUUUCCCUCUAAGCAUUCUGCCUGUGACCUGGGAAGCCUGCAGUCACUGCUGCAGGAGAAAUCCAGAACUCUCGGCAGCCAGCAUAGCCCACCUGUCAGCUUUUUCCCAAGGCCCAGCCCCUGCCCUGCAGACUGAUGAGCGCUACUGAGGAGAAGCUGGAACCUUCCACUCUGCAUGCUCAUGGUUUGGGGAAGGAGUCGGCUGAUUUUGGAGCUGGAAACACUCAGCUCAAGAGAUGUAGACAAGUAGAACUUUCCUGCUCUUCUAGCUGUCCCUAGAACCCAGCUCUUGGGAUGAUGGGAUCUAGGAGCCUGGAGGUGUGGCUUUUGCCAUCCUAUGUUGAAUAAACUGUCAGUACCAUCACGACUAACUACCAAUGAUGAUGGCCACUAAUGUGUGUAGGUAGAUUAUAAAAAUGGCCCUGAUUCACCUUCCCUCCCUCUAUCCACACCAUUUGCAAUGUGUCUCUGCAGUUCUUCCCAUCUAAUAGUUGAGCAUUUCCCCCACACUUUGAAUCCUGGUUAACUUGUGACUUGCCCUGGUCAUGCAAAUGCCUCAGAAGUGACAUGGUGCCAGUUCUAAGCCUAUGCCUCAAGAGGCCACACUCUCCCUUGGGAACCUGCCACCAAUGUGUAGAUAAACCCAGGUUGGCCUAUUGCUGACUAAGGUACCCCCCCCCCCAUCCAGCUGACAGCCUGCCAAUCUCCAAACAUGUGGGCGAGGCCAUUCUGGACCAGUGAGCUCCUAGCCAACCUGCUCACUGACAGCCAACACAAAAUCAGCCACGCCUGGCCCAGAUCCACAGAGCUGCCAGGCUGCCAUGUGGACUCAUGAGCAAUAAAAAUACAUGAUUCUUAUUUGAAGCCACUAAGUUUGGGGGUGGUGGUGGCUGAUACACAGCAAUAGCUAACUAUACAUCACAGUUUGGGACCAUUUAGUAUAGGCCAAGCUCUUUGCCAAGAGCUUUAGACAGAAUACUUUAUUGACUUCUUACAAUAGCCCCAUGAAGUAGAUAUUAUCAUCUUUAUUCUGUAGCGGAAGAAACUGAGAUUUUAGAAAUGUAAAUAACUUGCAUUAAGGUCCCACAAUAAGGAGUGGAAACUAGAUUUGAGUCCAAGCAUUCUGACACUAGAACCAUAUUAGGAUUUUUCUUUCAGUAGCACUUGCCCUUUGCGCCUUCAAAGACCAGUUCGGCUCUAAAAUCUUAGGACUUUUUUUUUUAAGAUUCUUGUUAUGAUACCAGCAAUCUCUUGCGGGUCAAAAUAUGAAUGAUUUGUCCAUUGCCUAAGUGGAUAAUCUGAACAAGGCUGAGCGUGGCAUUAUCUCUAAUUCCUUUGUUUUCCCCAUAUAAUCCACUAGCAAAACCUGUUGGUUCUGCCUUCAAACUCUGUCUGAACUCCUGUCACUUCUUGCCACCUCUGUUGCUGCCAGUCUAGUCCAACUACCAUCCUCUCUUACCCAGAUCUCUGCAGCAGCCUCUUCACUGGUCUCCCUGACUCUACUCUUCCCACUGAGAUCUUCUUCUCAUAUCAGCUGGAAUGAUCAUUUGGAAAUUAAAGUCAGAUUAUGGCAAUCUACUAUUCAAUACAUUUUAACGACUUCCCAGUACACUUAAGAACAGAAUCGCAAGUCACUACCACAUCCUUUAAGGUUUCAUAAUUUGGGCCAUGGCCAGAUUUCUCUCCUCCACCUUCUCUCUGGUCCCCCUGGCCUCCUAGCUCCUCACAUCUAAAGCUCAAUCCUGCCUUAGGCCAUUGCUUUAUUUCCUCUGCCCCCACAUGUCUACAAAGGCUCUACGACUUUGUCAACCCAAGUGUCAUCUCCAUGGUGCUCUACUUCCUUACCUUGCUUUAUUUUUCUUUUUAUUUGGAACACUUACUAUUGCCUACUACUAUUUCAUAUUUGUUUAUUGUUCAAUUGUCUUUCUUUUCCACUAGAAUAUCAACUUAAUGAGGUAAAGACUUCAUCUGGUCCCAGAUGUCUAAGUACAUUCGGGCUGCUGUAACAGAAUAUUAUACUCUAGGUAGCUUAUAAACAGCCGAAAUUUAUUUCUCUCAGUUCUGGAGGCUGGGAAACCUAAGAUCAAGGUGCCGGCAGAUUUUAUGUCUGGUGAGAGCCUUCUCUCUGAUUCAUAGAUGGCCCCUUUUUGCUGUGUCCUCACAUGGUGAAAGUGCAGAAUGAACACUUUUUGGGCCUCUUUGAUAAGGGCACUAGUCCCAUUCAUGAUCUAAUCACCUUCCAGAGGCUUCCCCCUGCUAAUACCAUCACAUUGGGGGUUCAAAUUUCAACAUAUGAAUUUUGGGGGAAUGCAAACACAGAGUCUGUGCCACCAGAUAUAUCUCCAGGGUUUAAAUAAAGCAGUGUUACCUACAAAAUAGUACCCAAUAAAUGUUUGAGAGAAAAUAAAAUUGAAGGGAAUGAAAAUAAUUGAAUGAAAGAAAAUUAAAAGUGAAAGAAAGCACUAUGCAAGAAAAAACUUUUUUUUCAUCAUGCUUCUAUGACCUUUGUUCUUAAUUCCAAUGUUUGACCUUAGAGUUAACCACUUAUUUUCUGAAAUGUUAUUAAGCAUCUCAGAAUAUUUAUAAGGACAUCUCUCCCAAGUUGUCAUCAAUAAAUCCAAAAUUCAAGAACUCGGAAACUUGCAAGGGUUAUUUCCCAUUUAUCGAGCUUUUCUCCUGCAACUCACAGCUCCAAGCAAAGAUUUACCCAGGACUUUUAGCAGUGAAAUAAUUGAGAAACUAGUAAUAAACUGAUCCUUCUAUUGUGGGUAAAGAAAUUCAGAUAAUUUCAAUAGAGAAAAAUGGAGGAAGGAAUGUAUAUAAAAAGCCUGUACUCUUCAAACUGAGUACCUAGUGGGGUUCAGGGCAAUUCUGAGUUAUUGCACCUCUUUGGUCCUAGUGGCAGCUGCUGGAAUUGCAGGCAAGGAAGAGGCCAUGGGAAAUUGUUACUCAACAAUUAUUUUGGUGGACUCAAGACUUAGCUGCCUCCUCUUUGGGAAAUCAAAUCCCAAUCUCCAGCAAAACAGGAUCUAGAGGCACCAGUCUCCAAGGGUGUUUGUGAGACCUUCUUUGUUCUGGUCCUGUAAUAUGUGCUUGAUGGGGAGCAUCUAUUUGAAUCCUCACCACUGAAAGUGCUCAGGAAAUUUCACCCCAAAAUAUAACUCCUUGGUAUAAAGAAUAUUUUGAAUUAAAAGUUCUUAGAGAUUAACAGGCCCUUGGAAGAGGCCCUCUGUCUGCAUAAACUAAAAGAACAAUGGUCUUCCCUUCCUUUCCCUGUUAUCUCAAUAUAUUGCAAGAAAAAUGAUCAAGAAUGCAACCAGAGCUGGCCCAAAUCAUUCUAAACAUGGUACCUGUCAUUCAGACUAAUUUACAAGUCAAUCUGUUUCCCCACCCAUUAAUUCUCCCAAGUAUCCAUUCAUCCUCCCUAGCAACUGUUACUGAAAGUUCAGCAUCAGAAGAACUCGUAUAAGUGGUUUGAGGAAAAGGAAAGAGGAGUUUGUUAAUUUGCUGACAUUUGAGGAGGUUGGCAAACUCCCAUCUCAAAGUACCAAUGUCCUCCCUCUGAUCAGAAAUACAGAGCUUUUAAAGAUUUUGAUUAAUCCCAUAAUCCCAUCUUUGGCUAAAAUAAUCUUAUGACCUCUGCCUGGGCAAUUCCCUUCAGCCAUCUCCUGUGGCUCAAAGAGCAAAACACAUUCCUAUAUUCCUCCCAACCACUGGCCUGAGGCAGGGAUGUAGGUUUUAGUUCUCAAAAAGGGCGAGGGGGUGUUGAAGAGAUAGAAAACAUUUUUACCCUUCUUCAGGCCAUUUUCUCUGUUAUACAACCAUAUAUUUCCCCUAAACAGAAUCACCUGUACUGCUCAUCUCUCCCUCGCCUCCAAAAGGACAAGUAUAAAAAUAUCUGAACUUCACUGGGAUAUUGCAUAAUCACUCUGUGAUUCUCCCCAUGCACAUGGUAAA